CCACCUUGAGUAGCUUUAUCUCUCUCUCACACAUUCUCAUAUACCUAUAUCUCUUUCAGCACCUCCCAUCAUCAUUACCUCUCAACUUAAUUCUUAUAAGGUUUGCAACACUGUACUGCAUUACAAAGAGCAAGGGAAGCAAGCAAAUGGGUCUGGAAUUCAUGGAAGAAUAUCGGGCAACUAUGCCAAAACAAGACAUUCGUUCACCUAAAAUAAUUACUACUACUACUACUACUAAUACUACCUUGACAGAAGAAAUAUCAUCAUCAGAUCUAGAGGAGGAGAAAGAGCAUAACUACUACAAUACACCCCCCAUAUCACCAUCGAGAACCCCCUUGGUUUGUCCACCAGCUCCAAAGAAACGUCAAGCAAGAAGAUCAAGUACAAUUAUAUCUCAAGGGAGGAGGUUCUUUCAAGUACCUGACGAUCUAGCUUCUAUAUUUCUUCUCCACUCCAAACCUUCCACAACAACAUCACACCAUCUUGCUACCUAAUUACAUUCUACAAUUCUUCAUCAACACCCAACGCAACGGUAUAUAGUUAUAAUAAAUUAAAUUAAGUCUUUUUUUUUUUUUUUAGUUAAUCAACCACUACCUCAGCCUCAUAUAUGUUACUAGUAUUAAUUUCUUCUCUUAUAUUUCUACUAUCUUUGUUGUUCGUCUUUUAUUUUAUUUUUUAUUUUAAUAUCUCAAAGUUUAUUGAUUGUCUCUCUUUUUAAAUAUAAGCUAGCUAAACAAUUUGUCCCUAUAUAGAAGUAGUUUAAGUCUAAUUGCAAAUCACUAAAUAUAUAUCUAUGGAUUAAAUAUGUUUUUAAUUAUAGUACUAACAAAUAUCGACCUUUAAAGUUUAGUUUAUAUGAUAAUUAAAAAUAUAAUUUUUAGAUCCUAUAAUAUUAUCAUGACUUGUUAGUAUAUGGUGUUAAACAUAUAUUUUUGA
rnacentral:lncRNA from 1 species